CGAGGGCGCACCUAUCUACAGGGUCCGGAAGAUUAUGGACAUGCGUCCUCGGGGCCGUGGUCAUCAGUACCUAGUGGAUUGGGAGGGUUACGGUCCUGAGGAAAGGAGUUGGGUUCCAUCUCGGGACGUGCUGGACCGUUCGCUGAUCGAUGAUUUCCUCCGUUGCCGCCAGGUUUCCUCCUCGAGUGCGCCAGGAGGCGCUCGGUGAGUGGGGGGGUACUGUCAUGUUAUGUCUUGUCCCUGUGCUUUCUCUUCUCUUCGUUUCCCCCUGCUGGUCGUAUUAGGUUACUAUCUCUCUCUCUAUCGUUCCGUUCCUGCUCCCAGCUGUUCCCCAUUCUCCUAACGACCUCGUUUACUCUCUCACACCUGUCUCCUCUUUUGCCCUCUGAUUAAGUCUCUAUUUCUCUCUCUGUUUCUGCUUCUGUCCUUGUCGGAUUCUUGUUUGCUUUGCCCUUGUCCCGUCCUGUCGUAAUCUGCCUCUUCAUCAGAUGCUGCGUGUGAGCAGGUGUCUCUGUCCUCUACGGCCCGUGCCUACCCGGAGGGACCAGCAGUCUGUUGCCGCUAGCCCUGCUAUUCUCCUCUACUACUACAAGGGGGACUCUCCUGUAAAGAUAGAGGAUUUAUGUUUUCCCUGUUUGGACAUCUCCUGUAAAGAUUGAGGAUUUAUGUUUUCCCUGUUUGGACAUUAAAAGACUCUGUUUCUGUUAAAUCGCUUUUGGGUCCUCACUCACCUGCAUAACAUUUACCCAGCUGAAAAUGAAUAGUGGCUGACAGCAGUAUGCUAACCCAAUGUUAACUUUUAUUCCUUUCCUUAACCCUUACCUUAACCUCACUGAAACUAUACCUAACCUUUACCUUAACCCAACCCUAGGUCCUGAACCUAACCUUCAUUUAUCUCAACCCCUAUGCCUUUCUUCUGCCGGUUGAAUAUCCACUUCCUUAUUAACGUCAUUACUGUUGUUGUUGUUGAUAACUGUAUCUGUGCAGGUUGUAAAUAGUUGCAUUAGUGAAGCAUCAUUUGUAGGAGUCAUUUCUACAAGCAUAAACAUCAGAGACAACCAUUGUUGUAAUAUCACACAAAUUGCAUUGGGAAUUUCAUUUUGCUUCAAUCAGAGAGAGAGAAGAUAAUAGAGGCAACGAAAAGAGAUGAGAUGGCAGAAGAGGAAAGAAGGGAGAUCCUUGAGAAGAGGGGUGAGUUAGAGGACACUGAAGAGGAGGAGGAGAAGGACGAUGACAAGGAGGACAUUCUCCCACCCGAUAAAAGUAUCCGAAGGAGAGCUGUGGGCUGGGUAAACAAGAAGUGGGAGAAGAGGAACCUCAGAAAGAUAGAGAGAACGUAUCAGAGAGAGGCUGAGGAGGGCUAUAAGAUCGUCCACAUAGGUCAUCCCUGGACCCAUAAGGCUAACCAUGACCCGGGCAGAGAGAGAGAGGAAGGAGCUCCUGAAGACAGAGGAGAGAAGGAAUAAGAUGGAGGAUUGCAGUGGAGAGAGCAGUCCCUGCUUAAUAAACGGACUCAUCAGAAACUUAAAGAGGAGAGGGAGAGGAUGAAGGAACAGUACCUAAAAAAACAAGCAAGAGAUUUAAGAUGGGAGGAGUCAACUAUACACAUCUAUUUUAGACCAUAGACCUUGUUCCACCCUAUAAAAGUAUCCGAAGGAGAGCUGUGGCCUAAGAAGUGGGAGAAGAGGAACCUCAAAAAGAUAGAGAACAUAUCAGAGAGAGGCUGAGGAGGGCUAUAAGAUCAUCAACAAAGGUAAGUCCUGUUUUCUCUCAGUUCAUAACGUUUAAUGACUCCAACCUAAGUGUAUGUAAACUUCCGACUUCAACUGUAUGUACAGUCCUUUCUAGUGGGGCGACAAAUGAGUUGAACAGGAGAAGAGGAUGAGGUUGGUGGUGGAGGAAGAGCAGUGGGGGUGGUGGGUAGAACAGCUGCAGUGACGUUGAUUGGUUGCUCUGGCUCAUCACUUGUUGACUAAAAGAAAGAAAGAUUUAGACAUUUGUUGGACAUUGCCAUAGUUCAACAGCUGAAAAGCCUUCAUUAACAUACUCCCAGAGAUAGAAAGACAUCCAGUAUUCACUGAAUGAAGGAGCCUAUUUACAAUUUCAUUCAUCAAUUCAAUAAAUGAUACUAUAGUACAUUCAAUGACGUUAUUAUUGUGGACUAUAGGCUACUCCUGUAUCUACCUUCUACAAUACCCUCAUCAUUGAAUGAAGCAGCAUACCUAUCCACAUUUACAAUGGUAGAUGUGGUGGUGGUAGGGAUGGUAGGUGUGGUGAUGUUAGGUGUGGGGAUGGUAGGUGUGAUGAUGGUAGGUGUGGGGAUGGUAGGUAUGAUAGGUGUGGGGAUGGUUGGUGUAAUGGUAAGUGGAGUGGUUGUAGGUGUGGUGAUGGUAGGUGUGGUUAUGGUAGAUGUGAUGAUGGUAAGUGUAGUGAUGGUAGGUGUGGUGACGGUAUGUGUUGUGAAGGUAGGUGUGGUUAUGGUAGAUGUGAUGAUGGUAGGUCUGAUGGUAGGUGUGGUGAAGUAAUUAUGGUAUGGUUUUUGUGGUGAUGGUAUGUAUGAUGGUAGGUGUAUGGAUGGUAGGUAUGGUGGGUGUAAUGGUAGGUAUGGUGAUGGUAGGUGUGAUAGUUGUGGUAGGUAGGUAUGGUAUGGUAGUUGUGGUAGGUAGGUAGGUAGGUUUGGUGGGUGUGGUGAUGGUACAUGAGGUAGCUGUGGUUAUGGUAGGUGUGGUGAUGGAUGGUUUGGUGAAGGUAGGUAUGGUAGGUGUGUUAGGUUUUGUGAUGUAGGUGUGAGAGAAGUGGUGAUGGUAGGUAAGUUUGGUAGGUUUGGUGAUGAUAGAUAGGGUAGGUAUGGUGAUUAUAGGUGUGGUAGUUUGGGUAGGUUUGUUAGGUGUGGUAAGUUUGAUGAUAGUAGAUGUGGUGUUGGUGGAUUGUAGGUGUGUUGAUGGUAGGUAGGGUAGUUGUGGUGGGUAGGUUUGGUAGGUGUGGUGAUGGUAGGUUUUGUAGUUGUGGUGAUGGUAGGUGUGUUAGUUUUAGUAGGUUGGUGUGGUGGUUGUGGUACAUAGGGGUGGUAGUUGUGGUAGGUAGAUGUGGUAGUUGGGAUAAGUAGGUGUGGUAGUUGGGAUAAGUAGGUGUGGUAGUUGUGGUAGUUGUGGUACAUAGGGGUGGUAGUUGUGGUAGGUAGGUGUGGUAGUUGUGGUGUUGGUGGAUUGUAGGUGUGUUGAUGGUGGGUAGGAUAGUUGUGGUAGGUCGAUGUGGUAGUUGUGGUAGGUAGGUUUGGUAGUUGUGUUUGGUAGGUGGGGUAGUUGUGGUACAUAUGUGUGGUGGUUGUGUUAGGUAGGUUUGGUGAUGGUAGGUUUUGUAGUUGUGGUGAUGAUAGGUGUGGUAGGUGUGUUAGUUUUGGUAGGUUGGUGUGGUGGUUGUGGUACAUAGGGGUGGUAGUUGUGGUAGUUGUGGUGAUUAGGGUUGGGCGGUAUCCAGAUGUUCAUAUUGUCAUACCAUCCUUCUCUCAUACCGGGAUUAACAGUAUUACUGGCAUAGCACAUGAGUGGGUGCUAAAAACACAAGAAAAACCUAUUGCCCUCUAUUUCCAGAAUGCUAACAAAUUAGCACAAACUGAUAGCAAAUUCACAUAGACGCUGUUAGCUAAAUGCUAACAACGGAAAACAAACUAGCUAAUUGCAAAGCAGUGGAGGCUGCUGAGGGGAAGACAACUCAUAAUCAUGUCUGGAAUGAAGUCAAUGGAGUGGUAUCAACCACAUCAAAGAUUCCAGACAUUAUUAUGAGCUUCCACUGUUGCAAAGAAAGGCAAAUCCAGCUCAUAAAGUGAUGUAAGGGAUAAUCAACGAGGGACUAUGAGUUCUAUGGUAAAUAAUGAACACUGUGGAACUGACCUUCCAUGGACUUGCAUUAUUUUCCAGAGAACCAUAAAGCCCUGAGUUGAUUAUCCCUUUUAUACCAUGGCUAUAAUUUAACACAUUUGCUGGUAGAAAUGUGUUCAAGUAGCUAGCAAGUUUACUAGAUAGCUACAGUAGUUGCCUUGGUAACCAAACAAACAUACUUGCUAGUUUAGAUAACCAAACCAUCAGUCCUAGCUUGCUAUUAUGAAAACCUAAUUCAACAACACCAAUAAUGUUUUCAAUUUGACUUCAUUUGUAAUGUCCAAAAGUCCAAACGUAAUUACCAUGGAUUGGAGGGAAGAGGUCUGUGAACCAAUAUCUGAAGUUUUAGGGAAGCAUUUUUCAGGUAAAGUCAAUUCAAAUUAAUUUAAUAAAAAUUGAAAGUAAGUUUAUUAGUGGGAUGUGGUUCCUGAACCAAUGACAGUUGUUCGUAUUCAUUAAAGUAAUAUGGGGUGGAAGCUAUUGACGUUUUAAGAAAGUAUCUUUACUGUAAAGUCAAUUUAAGUUGGUAGAAUAUCACCAAAGUCAAGAAAUACAAAAGCAAUUGAUAUUGAUUGGAGGGAUGAGGUCCCUGAACCAAUCACAGUUAGUUUAACUCAUGAAUGUCAAAUGGGUGGAAUCUAUUGACAUUUUAAAGUAUUAUUCAUGCAAAUUUAAUUAACGUUUGUAAAAAAGUAUCCAAAGUCAACAAAUACAACACAAAUUACUGUUGAUUGGAGGGAUGAGGUCCCUGAACCAAUAUCAGUUGAUUGUAUUCAUGAAAGUUAUAUGGAGGGGAAGAUAUUGAUGUUUUUUUGAAGUACUUUUAUGUAAAGUGAUUUAUUUUACAUUUUGUAGAUUUUAGAGAAGUAAAAUAAAAUGUAACUAAUUGCAUUCCAGAAAAGAGGUCUCUUAUCAGUGUCAAAUUUGUUUGAGAUCUCUAUGUCAUGUCGUUGAGAAGGUAUUGAUAUUUUCCAUUUACAGGCAAUUGUAUGCGAUGCAGUUUUAAGACGGUUCCUUAACCCUCUGAACAGAGGAUGGCACAUUUUUAGCUACAUUUCACCUCCAAAAAGUGAAUGACACCGAAUGGAACAGUAGGUUAACUGCCUUAUCCAGUUGUCUUGAAAGAACCAUAAAUCCAGAGAAUGACAGACUUUGAUGCCAAACCGCCGCUACACCUUCCUGUUCAAGUGAGCACAACACAACAAGGUGAGUCCAACAAUGUAUUGACUGCUGCUCUAUAAAUGAUGUAAUAUGCCAGGGAGAUGUGUAUACUGUAGAUAAGAAAGUAAUACUAAGUGUAUGUUGUGUAGUAAGCUGUUAGUAGCCCAUGUGCCUCACCCUAAUAAUGUUGUCCCUUUCCCUUCUCAUAACUUAGCCUACUGCUCUGACUUGGUGGUGCACAUGUAGACUAUAGCCUGUUUUAGAGAAAUGUAAUCAUCAAAUAUUGUAAGAGCUUUCAUUGUCUGCUUAUAUGCAGUUAUGACUUGGUGUACAGGGAGAAUACUGUAAGAAUGGCCCAUGUUCAAAAUUCUGUCGCUGCACAUUUCAAAAGUGCUGAACACAUAGUUAUAUUGACGACGUCCAUCCUAGGUCUCUCAUUGUCUUAAUCUAAAUGACAGAUAUCCUAUAGUCCACUCGUUGUCCCCUUGUGCCAUAGUUUGUACAUCACAAGUGUCAGUAGAAACCACAUUUGUUUUCCCCACCAAGAUGUACAUGCUGCAAUCACCACUGGGUGGGUGAAUUAUAACAUAUCAACCCUGUUACCUAUAGAUACAGUCUAGAAAUGUUUAAACUAUUUACAUGUGUUUGGUAAGCUUGCAUUCCAUUCCCCCUGUCACAUGGGGAUCUAUGGUUGAUUCUAGAUGAAAUAGUCAACUCUGUUACAGUCAACCCUGUCACUUUAUUUGGCACUUAAUAGGCACUUGCUAUAGUAUGUAUUUGUUACUGUUGAGAUGGGAAAACAUGUUUUUUAUUAAGUUGAACAUGUGCUCUUUAUGACAGAAUGUUAGAAUUAGGGGAAAUAUAAAGUUACACUCCCCAAAAGGUACUCAAUUGGUGGAAUGACCCAAGUACUGAACUGGAGGUGGGAGAGCUAACGAUGCGUCUACUGUUGCUCUCUCCUCAGACUCUUAGAGAAGCUAUUUCAAUCUGAUAUUUCUCCUAUGGUCUAAAAUAGAUGUGUAUAGAGGACUCCUCUCUAAUAUAACAUGUCACACAUUGUAUCAAACUGAUGGAAUGUUAGGUGUCUCAUUGAAAGUCUAACAUCUACCAUGACUACUGCAUGUUUCAAUUCUAAUAAAUAACAAAACAAUCCACACCGUAACAACAAUAUUGCUUUUUUACUAAAUGAUUUUAUUAAAGAAUAAAACUUUGCUAACAAAAAUGACAUCAUCAAACAUCACUGGCCUGACUUGAGCAGCUCUGCCCGGGGAUGGAGCCAGCAACUUAGCUGCUACCGGUCCGGUCCAGGCUACCUGCAGACCUCCUCCCAGACCUCAUUUUCAGCACCAACAGGAGAGGUGGUGGAAAUGAUCAGAGUUGCAUUCAACUUGAAUAAAGAUGAGAAACUCUGGUCUGUGGAGCCACUGGUCUGAGGGGAGGACUUCUGUUUAAACCAUUUCCAUUUUUGGGAUAUUUUCUAGGACUGUAGAGGUGGUAAGCAGAGAUGAAUUUAACUAGGAUACAGAUGAGAGUCUCUGUUCUUGGGAGGAGGGUCACUGACCUUCGAUGGUUUGUUGCCUGAUAAAGAGGAUACUUGCUGGCUUGAGGAGACUAUAAUGUUUUGAGGAGGAAAUGUGGCUCGAUGACUUAAAGAGGAGGAGGAAUUAUUGGGCGACACUUUUAAUUACCAACGUAACCUCAGUGGAACUGUGGCUUCAUCGAGUUCCAGCUCUAGGCAGACAGUACGUCAGGAAUGCUGUAAGACAUCACAGAGACAGGUAAGUAUCUAUAUAUUUACAUGUGUGUUGCAUGUACACUAAACCCUCACAUUUGGAUAAUGUCACUUUUUAAAGUGAUGACAUGUAUAUUAACAGUGUAAAACAUGAAUAGAUGUUUAAACAUUCUUUACCCCAUCCUAAUUUUCUUCCAGAUGCUUGGCUUUUUCUUUGUCUUUGUGUUGGAGAUUGGCUCUGAUGUUUCAGCCUCUUCUGGACCUUCUAGCUGCUGGCUGUCUGGCCCCCCCUGAUGGUUCUCUGGCCCCUCCUGCUGGUUCUCUGAACUCCCCUCCUGGUUGUCUGCCCAUGCCUGUUGCCUCCUUGGCCUUUCCUGGUGGCCAUCAGCAGAUCCAGUGGGCUCUUGGCUUACUUGUUGGCCUGUGGCCCACCAGGGCAACUCCUGACCGUGGUUGUAAUCGUGGCUGUGUUGGGUGGUUAGACACCGGGUGUUGAUUUGAGCAUCAGCCUCCAGAUUCAUCUGAUCCAGGUAGUUUUCCUUCAUCCUCUCCCUCUCCUCCAUCAGUUGUUGAUGAGUGUGUUUUUUAAGCAGGGACCGCUCUCUCCACUGCUUGUUGAAAUCCUCCAUCUUCUUCCUUCUCUCCUCAGCCUUCAGCAGCUCCUUCCUCUUCUCCCUCUCUCUCUCUGCCCGGGUCAUGGUGGAUGUUAGCCUUGUGUGUCCAGGGAUGGCUGGGAGGGGAGAAGAAGUAGAGUUUACAUUCAACUUAGUUGAUCUGGUAUCAACUUAAAUGUAAUGGACACAGGGAAUGAAGAAUAGAAAACACAAUUGGAUCUCAAUGAUCUUUACUCUUUUCAGUUAAGCAAGGCAUGGAAUGUGUCAAUAAAGUGCAAUAAUUCCCAUCCCGAAUUGUCCUGGCCCUAAGUUGAACAUGAGUCCAGAAUGGCACCUAUUCUUUGUAUAGUGCCAGGGCAUAUGUGAUCGCUUAGGGCCCCAUGGCCACUAGUAGCCCCCGGAUCCCCCCAAAACACGUUUUUGUGUGUGUUUUUUAGGAACUCUUUCUGGUUCUUUACUUAGUCUUGAGAGUUAGACUAGUAGAUGACUCAAGGUACCAUUUAAAAACGUGGUUGUUAUCAGCAGUAUUUUUCUUGUUAUGUCAGUCAGUCACUCAAUGAGCCAUGUCAGCUAACAUAUUCUUUGGACAGUAGUUUUAUAUUGAAACAAUGAUGCAACAUGAUGACUGGUGUGGAACUUAUGUGUGUAGAGGAGACUAAAGAGGAUGAUGUCAUAAGUAGAGGGAAAACAGGUCUUACCUAUGUGGACGAUCUUAUGGCCCUCCUCAGCCUCUCUCUGAUACGUUCUCUCUAUCUUUCUGAGGUUCCUCUUCUCCCAUGUUUUAUUCACCCAGCCCACAGCUCUCCUUCUGAUACUUUUAUCAGGUGGGAGAAUGUCCUCCUUGUCAUCUUCCUUCUCCUCCUCCUCUAAC